rnacentral:rRNA from 1 species
CGCGAAACCUUUACACUGCACGAGAGUGCGAUAAGGGGACUCCCAGUGCGAGGGCAUACAGUCCUCGCUUUUCUGGACCGUAGGGAGGUCCAGGAACAAGUGCUGGGCAAGACCGGUGCCAGCCGCCGCGGUAGUACCGGCAGCACGAGUGAUGGCCGAUAUUAUUGGGCCUAAAGCGUCCGUAGCCGGCCAGACAAGUCCGUUGGGAAAUCCACGUGCUCAACACGUGGGCGUCCAGCGGAAACUGUCUGGCUUGGGGCCGGAAGACCCAAGGGGUACGUCCGGGGUAGGAGUGAAAUCCCGUAAUCCUGGACGGACCGCCGAUGGCGAAAGCACCUUGGGAGGACGGACCCGACGGUGAGGGACGAAAGCCAGGGUCUCGAACCGGAUUAGAUACCCGGGUAGUCCUGGCCGUAAACGAUGUCCGCUAGGUGUGGCGCAGGCUACGAGCCUGCGCUGUGCCGUAGGGAAGCCGUGAAGCGGACCGCCUGGGAAGUACGUCUGCAAAGAUGAAACUUAAAGGAAUUGGCGGGGGAGCACUACAACCGGAGGAGCCUGCGGUUUAAUUGGAAUCA